GGCUUGUUAGCUCAAUUGGUAGAGCGCUGCACUAUUAUCGCAGAGGUCGGUGGUUCGAAUCCCGUACAGGCCU
rnacentral:tRNA from 1 species